UUGGCAAGAGGUAUAUUAAUAUACAGGCAGGAUGAUAUUGAAGAUCAUCCUGCCUGUGUAUUAAUAUACUUCUUGCCAA